rnacentral:rRNA from 1 species
AUGAACGCUGGCGGCGUGCCUAAUACCUGCAAGUCGAGCGAACAGAUGAGGAGCUUGCUCCUCUGACGUUAGCGGCGGACGGGUGAGUAACACGUGGAUAACCUACCUAUAAGACUGGGAUAACUUCGGGAAACCGGAGCUAAUACCGGAUAAUAUAUUGAACCGCAUGGUUCAAUAGUGAAAGACGGUUUUGCUGUCACUUAUAGAUGGAUCCGCGCCGCAUUAGCUAGUUGGUAAGGUAACGGCUUACCAAGGCAACGAUGCGUAGCCGACCUGAGAGGGUGAUCGGCCACACUGGAACUGAGACACGGUCCAGACUCCUACGGGAGGCAGCAGUAGGGAAUCUUCCGCAAUGGGCGAAAGCCUGACGGAGCAACGCCGCGUGAGUGAUGAAGGUCUUCGGAUCGUAAAACUCUGUUAUUAGGGAAGAACAAAUGUGUAAGUAACUAUGCACGUCUUGGCGGUACCUAAUCAGAAAGCCACGGCUAACUACGUG